GUGUCAGCAGCCGCGGUAAUACGGAGGGGGCUAGCGUUGUUCGGAAUUACUGGGCGUAAAGGGCGCGUAGGCGGGCUGUUAAGUCGGGGGUGAAAUCCCGGGGCUCAACCCCGGAACCGCCUCCGAUACUGGCAGCCUCGAGGACGGGAGAGGCCAGUGGAAUGGCGAGUGUAGAGGUGAAAUUCGUAGAUAUUCGCCGGAACACCAGUGGCGAAGGCGACUGGCUGGCCCGUUUCUGACGCUGAGGCGCGAAAGCGUGGGGAGCAAACAGGAUUAGAUACCCUGGUAGUCCACGCCGUAAACGAUGAUCGCCAGUCGUCGGGGGGCUUGCCCUUCGGUGACGCAGCUAACGCAGUAAGCGAUCCGCCUGGGGAGUACGGCCGCAAGGUUAAAACUCAAAUGAAUUGACGGGG
rnacentral:rRNA from 1 species